rnacentral:rRNA from 1 species
UACAGAGGAGCCAAGCGUUGUCCGGAUUGACUGGGCGUAAAGCGCACGCAGGCGGACGCGCGCGUGGGGUGUGAAAUCUGGCCGCUUAACGGCCAGGCGCCAUCCCAUACGGCGCGACUGGAGUGAUGCAGAGGUCGAUGGAAUUGCCGGUGUAGUGGUGAAAUGCGUAGAGAUCGGCAGGAACACCCAAGGGGAAGCCAGCUGGCUGGGCAUUGGCUGACGCUCAUGUGCGACAGCGUGGGGAGCGAACUGG